ACGGACAGAAUGAAGGGACUAGUAAACAGGUGAAAUGCGAUAGAGAGUGGAGUCCACCGGCUGAAAGGCUCCUCGCAGGAAGCGGUUGAACCUGCCCUGAUGACUCAUUGCUUAUGAAAACAUAAGCCGUUUUCCCUCGUUACGGGUAUGUAAGCGGGCGCUUCCUCUUCGGAGCGUCAAUAAAGGUGGUACCGCGGAAAGCAUGUCUUCCGUCCUUUUC
rnacentral:ncRNA from 1 species